rnacentral:rRNA from 1 species
AGCGAACGCUGGCGGCAGGCUUAACACAUGCAAGUCGAACGGUCCUUCGGGAUAGUGGCGGACGGGUGAGUAACACGUGGGAACGUACCCUUAGGUUCGGAACAACACAGGGACACUUGUGCUAAUACCGGAUAAGCCCUUCGGGGGAAAGAUUUAUCGCCUUUGGAGCGGCCCGCGUCUGAUUAGCUUGUUGGUGAGGUAAUGGCUCACCAAGGCUACGAGCAGUAGCUGGUCUGAGAGGAUGGCCAGCCACACUGGGACUGAGACACGGCCGAGACUGCUACGGGAGGCAGCAGGGUGGAAUCUUGCGCAAUGGGCGAAAGCCUUGCGCAUCCAUGCCGCGUGGAUGAUGAAGGUCUUAGGAUUGUAAAAUCCUUUCACCGGGGACGAUAAUGACGGUACCCGGAGAAGAAGCCCCGGCUAACUUCGUGCCAGCCGCCGCCGUAA